GUACAUAAACUACCCGAGAUGCUCACAGGACUUGGACAUUGUCAGGAGAAGGCAUCCAGGAGAGGAGAAAACAGCACUGUCUUGUGAAAGCGAGCCCACAACAGACUGUCAAGAUGUGCAGUAUGGAUUGCGUGUUCAAUGCGUUACGGUCUGUAUUGCACAUGGUUAAGCGCAUCUUUGACAAGACAAAGGAUCUGUACGAUCACCCCUUUGAGCCACCCAAGCGAGAAUGACACCCGCUCCUUUUCUUUGUUCGAUGGACUCCAUUGCAUCUUCUCUUCCUACAUUGACAAUGCGCACGCAUGUCCCCUUCUUAUCAAGAGAUGUUU